rnacentral:rRNA from 1 species
CGUGUAGGCGGCUUGGUAAGUCAGAUGUGAAAGCCCAGGGCUCAACCCUGGAAGUGCAUUUGAUACUGCCAUGCUUGAGUAUGGGAGAGGAGAGCGGAAUUCCCAGUGUAGAGGUGAAAUUCGUAGAUAUUGGGAGGAACACCCGUGGUGAAGGCGGCUCUCUGGACCAAUACUGACGCUGAGACGCGAAAGCGUGGGGAGCAAACAGGAUUAGAUACCCUGGUAGUCC